rnacentral:rRNA from 1 species
UUGCCCUAGUAACGGCGAGUGAAGCGGCAACAGCUCAAAUUUGAAAUCUGGCCUCGGCCCGAGUUGUAAUUUGCAGAGGAUGCUUUUGGCGCGGUGCCUUCCGAGUUCCCUGGAACGGGACGCCACAGAGGGUGAGAGCCCCGUAUGGUUGGACACCAAGCCUGUGUAAAGCUCCUUCGACGAGUCGAGUAGUUUGGGAAUGCUGCUCAAAAUGGGAGGUAAAUCUCUUCUAAAGCUAAAUACCGGCCAGAGACCGAUAGCGCACAAGUAGAGUGAUCGAAAGAUGAAAAGCACCUUGAAAAGGGGGUUAAACAGUACGUGAAAUUGUUGAAAGGGAAGCGCUUGUGACCAGACUUGCGCCUGGCGGCUCAUCCGGGGUUCUCUCCGGUGCACUCCGCCAGGCUCAGGCCAGCAUCGGUUCUGGCGGGGGGAUAAGAUCGGCGGGAACGUAGCACCCUCCGGGGUGUGUUAUAGCCCGCCGAACGAUACCCUCGCGGGGACCGAGGUUCGCGCUCCGCAAGGAUGCUGGCGUAAUGGUCAUCAGCGACCCGUCUUGAAACACGGACCAAGGAGUCGUCCAUUAUAGCGAGCGUUUGGGUGUAAAACCCGCACGCGUAAUGAAAGUGAAAUUAGGUGAGAGCUUCGGCGCAUCAUCGACCGAUCCUGAUGUUCUCGGAAGGAUUUGAGUAAGAGUUAUAACGGACGGACCCGAAAGACAGUGAACUAUGCUUGUAUAGGGUGAAGCCAGAGGAAACUCUGGUGGAGGCUCGCAGCGGUUCUGACGUGCAAAUCGAUCGUCAAAUAUGAGCAUGGGGGCGAAAGACUAAUCGAACUGUCUAGUAGCUGGU